rnacentral:rRNA from 1 species
CCUACGGGGGGCAGCAGUCGAGAAUCAUUCACAAUGGGGGAAACCCUGAUGCAGCAACGCCGCGUGAGUGAAGAAGUAUUUCGGUAUGUAAAGCUCUAUCAGCAGGGAAGAGAAUGACGGUACCUGACUAAGAAGCCCCGGCUAACUACGUGCCAGCAGCCGCGGUAAUACGUAGGGGGCAAGCGUUAUCCGGAUUUACUGGGUGUAAAGGGAGCGUAGACGGCUGUACAAGUCUGAAGUGAAAGCCCGUGGCUCAACCGCGGAACUGCUUUGGAAACUGUAAAGCUGGAGUACUGGAGAGGCAG